rnacentral:rRNA from 1 species
CACGAAGUAGCAGUACUUAGGUGGCAGACGGGUGAGUAACAUGUAGGUAUCUGCCCUUUGGCCGUGCUGAAUAACACGAGGAAACGUUGUGCUAAUACCGGAUAAGUCUUUACGGAGAAAGCUUUAUGCACCAUUGGAUGAGCCUGCACUUGAUUGAGUUUGUUGGUGGGGUAAUGGCCUACCAAGACUGUGAUCAAUAGCUGAUUUGAGAGGAUGAUCGAGCCACGAUUGGGACUGAGACACGGCCCAAACUCCUACGGGAGGCAGCAGUGGGGAAUCUUGCACAAUGGAGGAAACUCUGAUGCAGCGAUGCCGCGUGAGUGAAGAAGGCCCUUGGGUUGUAAAGCUCUUUCGUCGGGGAAGAAAAUGACUGUACCCGAAUAAGAAGGUCCGGCUAACUUCGUGCCAGCAGCCGCGGUAAUACGCACACGGACCUAACGUCAGUUCGGAAUUACUGGGCUUAACAGAGUUCGCU